UACGGGGGGGGCAAGCGUUGUUCGGAAUUACUGGGCGUAAAGGGCUCGUAGGCGGUCAACUAAGUCAGACGUGAAAUCCCUCGGCUUAACUGGGGAACUGCGUCUGAUACUGGAUGGCUUGGAUUCGGGAGAGGAAUGCGGAAUUCCAGGUGUAGCGGUGAAAUGCGUAGAUAUCUGGAGGAACACCGGUGGCGAAGGCGGCAUUCUGGACCGAUAUUGACGCUGAGGCGCGAAAGCUAGGGGAGCAAACGGG
rnacentral:rRNA from 1 species